AUUGCAGGCUGCAACCCGCCUGCAUGAAGUCGGAAUUGCUAGUAAUGGCAGGUCAGCAUACUGCCGUGAAUACGUUCCCGGGCCUUGUACACACCGCCCGUCACACCAUGAGAGUUAGGAAUACCCGAAGCCUGUGAGCUAACUUUAAUAGAGGCAGCAGUCGAAGGUAGAACUAAUGAUUGGGGUGAAGUCGUAACAAGGUAAC
rnacentral:rRNA from 1 species